rnacentral:rRNA from 1 species
AUUGAACGCUGGCGGCAGGCCUAACACAUGCAAGUCGAGCGGAUGAAGGGAGCUUGCUCCUGGAUUCAGCGGCGGACGGGUGAGUAAUGCCUAGGAAUCUGCCUGGUAGUGGGGGAUAACGUCCGGAAACGGGCGCUAAUACCGCAUACGUCCUGAGGGAGAAAGUGGGGGAUCUUCGGACCUCACGCUAUCAGAUGAGCCUAGGUCGGAUUAGCUAGUUGGUGGGGUAAAGGCCUACCAAGGCGACGAUCCGUAACUGGUCUGAGAGGAUGAUCAGUCACACUGGAACUGAGACACGGUCCAGACUCCUACGGGAGGCAGCAGUGGGGAAUAUUGGACAAUGGGCGAAAGCCUGAUCCAGCCAUGCCGCGUGUGUGAAGAAGGUCUUCGGAUUGUAAAGCACUUUAAGUUGGGAGGAAGGGCAGUAAGUUAAUACCUUGCUGUUUGACGUACC